GUUGUCCUUCAAACUAGUGCAAUUAGUGAAAGUGGCAGGACACCAUGUUUCAUAUUGUAUUUUCCACUGCAGGUAUUUGAAGGUUCUCAGCAAGGCCAGUAAUGCUGCAGGAGGAGUGGGUUGCAGUGUGCAGAUUCUACAUGAAAAGAUAAGAAUUUAUGUAUAUCUGGAAGAGCAGAGAGGAAAAAAAGAGGAAAUUAUCUUCAUAAACACAGCAAAUAAAAACUGAGACGUGUUGAAAACAAGAAUGUGCAUCAAGGGGUCAAGACACCUUACAGAAGGUUUUAAAAAUAUCCAGAAAAAGGGCAACAGGAACAACAGGAUCUAAUUGCAAGACUGAGAUUUUGGGGCUCAUAAGUGUCCAAUCAUAUGUUAAAAUGGACAUGCAGAUAUCAUCUGUUACCAGAAAUGCAUUGGGAAUUGUAUUUCCUCCACAAAUCACAGUUUGAAGCUGGAAAGCAAUCAUGCACAGUUGCUUAUUUCGAUGGAACCGUACAAGCUGAAGUGAAAUCAGACAAAACAAUAUGUAAUAGCAGCAAAACAGAAGAGUCUUAAUUCUAACUGGUUCUGAGCUUGGCAUAGGAAUAAGGAAAUUAGAACAUGAUGAAUAUUAAUAUUUAGAUUGCCUGUGCAUCAUAAGGUAACAGAGAAAUUCACAAUUUCUUGAAGCACUUCUCAUGUCCAACUCCAUUUCCAUUUUGGUUGAGGAAGUGGAAUACGUAACCCAGCACCCAGCGGAGGAUUACAUAUGCAUAGCAGCUCACUAGCUGAACUUCAUGUGUCCAGAGCCAGUAAAAGCCACAAAGAAAAUGAAAAAUCAAUUUUGUCGAGGUUUUAGAGGUUUCAUAUUAUGAGGGGCUUUAAAGCUCCAGACAAACAAAAUGCCGACAUUUUUAAGAUAGGAGCACCAUAAAUAAAAAAGAACACUGAGCAGCAUCCAUCCAUGCCCUCUUCAGUCAGCUUUGCUUUCCUUCCACAAAUAUUGCUGGAUCUAUCUGUGGUGCCAGCUGUGGACGGGUAUUUUUUCAGCAGUAGUUCUGCAUCAGUUAGGAUGCAUUCCAUCGGUGCUGUUCCUGUGUGUGCAAAUGGAAAAACCUAACUAUUGAGCCAACAGUAUCUGAGGGAUUAAUAUGAUUUCUCAUUAAUGAGAAAUCUGUAACCUUUGGUAUGGGAUAUAUUUAGCCUGUUUGUUCUGCUUUUUUUUUUUGUGAAGUAUAUUCUACAACAUGCUGUGAUUUCUGGCCUAUUGAUUAAUGGGUCUUUCCACCACAAGCAAUCUUAAUCUUUCUUAAUUGCCUUAAUGGCUGCAUGGCCUCUCUUUUAUACUCUCUGCCCACUAUGUUGUUGUUGCAAAUGCUUUUGUGUCUUAACUUCAUGACUACACUAAGGACUUAGAGGAGACUGACUGUGAAGUCUAUUGUUGCUCUUGU